rnacentral:rRNA from 1 species
AACGAACGCUGGCGGCAUGCCUAACACAUGCAAGUCGAACGACAGCUCCGGGUCGGGAGGCGCCCGGGUGCGUAACGCGGGGGAAGCUGCCCUUAGGUUCGGAAUAGCUCCCCGAAGGGGGUGCUACUGCGGGAUAACGGCUUCGGACCAAAGAUUUAUCGCCGUUGGAUGGGCCCGCGUUGGAUUAGCCCGUUAGUAGGGUAAAAGCCUAUGAAGGCGACGAUCCAUAGCUUGGCGGAGAGGAUGAUCAGCCACACUGGGAAUGGGCCACGGGCCAGACUACUACGGGAUGCAGCAGUGGGGAAUCUUGGACAAUGGGCGGAAGCCUGAUGCAGCGAUGCCGCGUGAGUGAUUUAGUCCUUAGGGUAGGAAAGUGCUUUUACCCGGGAUGAUAAUGACAGUACCGGAAGAAUAAGCUCCGGCUAACUCCGUG